CUAAAAGGAAUUGGCGGAGGGGCACCACCAGGAGUGGAGCCUGCGGCUUAAUUUGACUCAACACGGGGAAACUCACCAGGUCCAGACACAAUAAGGAUUGACAGAUUGAGAGCUCUUUCUUGAUUUUGUGAGUGGUGGUGCAUGGCCGUUCUUAGUUGGUGGAGUGAUUUGUCUGCUUAAUUGCGAUAACGAACGAGACCUUAUUCCUACUAAAUAGUGGUGCUAGCAUUUGCUGGUUCUUCCACUUCUUAUGAGGGACUAUCGAUUUCAAGUCGAUGGAAGUUUGAGGCAAUAACAGGUCUGUGAUGCCCUUAGACGUUCUGGGCCGCACGCGCGCUACACUCGACGGAGCCAGCGAGUCUAACCUAGGCCGAGAGGUCCUGGUAAUCUUGUGAAACUCCGUCGUGCUGGGGAUAGAGCUUUGUAAUUUUUGCUCUUCACCGAGGAAUUCCUAUAGCGCAAGUCAUCAGCUUGCGUUGAUACGUCCUGCGCCUUGUACACACCGCCCG
rnacentral:rRNA from 1 species